rnacentral:rRNA from 1 species
UACGUAGGUGGCAAGCGUUACUCGGAAUCACUAGGCGUAAAGCGCAGGUAGGCGGUUUGAUAAGUCUGUUGUGAAAGCUCCCGGCUUAACUGGGAGAGGUCAACGGAAACUGUCAAGCUAGAGUGUGGUAGAGGUAGCUGGAAUUCCCGGUGUAGCGGUGAAAUGCGUAGAUAUCGGGAGGAAUACCUAUGGCGAAAGCAGGCUACUGGACCAUCACUGACGCUGAUCUGCGAAAGCGUGGGGAUCAAACAGG